GUGCGUGUGUGCUGGUGGUUGUGGAAGGUCACUAUGUUCGUCGUGUAUGUACAUUGGUAAGACAACUCCAUGGUUUCAUCAGUAUUCUCACCUACCAUUUUCCUAGUGAUACCUGACAUGUGCACAUUUUUUAACGCCAUGUGCAUGUAUUUAUCACCACCCUCUUUUAACGUCAUGUACGGAAGCAGACUUCUUACGAGGCCACGAACUUGACAGGCAGAUGACUCGGCCCAAUGGAGGCCACGAACUUGACAGGCAGAUGACUCGGUUCAAUGGAUCCCAGGACAUGACUGCAUCUGCUUUGCAAAUUGUUUAAAUAUACUAUACCUGUA